rnacentral:rRNA from 1 species
GGCUCAGGAUGAACGCUGGCGGCGUGCCUAAUACAUGCAAGUCGAGCGAACAGAUAAGGAGCUUGCUCCUUUGACGUUAGCGGCGGACGGGUGAGUAACACGUGGGUAACCUACCUAUAAGACUGGAAUAACUCCGGGAAACCGGGGCUAAUGCCGGAUAACAUUUAGAACCGCAUGGUUCUAAAGUAAAAGAUGGUUUUGCUAUCACUUAUAGAUGGACCCGCGCCGUAUUAGCUAGUUGGUAAGGUAACGGCUUACCAAGGCAACGAUACGUAGCCGACCUGAGAGGGUGAUCGGCCACACUGGAACUGAGACACGGUCCAGACUCCUACGGGAGGCAGCAGUAGGGAAUCUUCCGCAAUGGGCGAAAGCCUGACGGAGCAACGCCGCGUGAGUGAUGAAGGUCUUCGGAUCGUAAAACUCUGUUAUUAGGGAAGAACAAAUGUGUAAGUAACUGUGCACGUCUUGACGGUACCUAAUCAGAAAGCCACGGCUAACUACGUGCCAGCAGCCG